rnacentral:rRNA from 1 species
UACGAAGGGAGCUAGCGUUGUUCGGAAUCACUGGGCGUAAAGCGCACGUAGGCGGACGUGUCAGUCAGGGGUGAAAUCCCGGAGCUCAACUUCGGAACUGCCUUUGAUACAGCACGUCUUGAGUCCGGAAGAGGUGGGUGGAAUUCCUAGUGUAGAGGUGAAAUUCGUAGAUAUUCGGAAGAACACCAGUGGCGAAGGCGACUCACUGGACGAUUGUUGACGCUGAGGUGCGAAAGCGUGGGGAGCAAACAGG